GACGAACGCUGGCGGCGUGCUUAACACAUGCAAGUCGAACGAUGAAGCCGGAGCUUGCUCUGGUGAAUUAGUGGCGAACGGGUGAGUAACACGUGAGUAACCUGCCCUUGACUCUGGGAUAACUGCGGGAAACUGUAGCUAAUACCGGAUACGACCCUCGGAGGCAUCUCCUGGGGGUGGAAGGAAUUUCGGUCAAGGAUGGACUCGCGGCCUAUCAGCUAGUUGGUGAGGUAAAGGCUCACCAAGGCGACGACGGGUAGCCGGCCUGAGCGGGUGACCGGCCACACUGGGACUGAGACACGGCCCAGACUCCUACGGGAGGCAGCAGUGGGGAAUAUUGCACAAUGGGCGCAAGCCUGAUGCAGCAACGCCGCGUGAGGGAUGACGGCCUUCGGGUUGUAAACCUCUUCUAGCAGGGAAGAAGCGAAAGUGACGGAACCUGCAGAAAAAGCACCGGCUAACUACGUGCCAGCCGCCGCCGUAA
rnacentral:rRNA from 1 species